UGCAGGGAUGGUGCAGGGGUGGGUUUUGUGGUGGGUGCUGAUGAAGUGUCUGUGGCUCACCCUGCCCUGCCCAUCUCUUGCAGAACAUUGUCUCCAAGCACAGCUCACAGUUCCGGGGCAACGCGCAGCACGACGCCCUCGAGUUCCUGCUCUGGCUGCUGGACCGCAUGCACGAGGACCUGGGGGCUGCCUCCCCUGCCCAGCAGACCCGCAGCCCCCAGGAGCCUGGCAAGGACAGUGGCAGUGCCAGCAGGUCCCCGCCGGCUGCCCAGCACUCCCGGGGGCAGAGCUUCGUGCAGAGCCAUUUCCAGGCACAGUACAGGUCCUCCCUGACGUGCCCUCACUGCCUGAAGCAGAGCAACACCUUCGACCCCUUCCUGUGCAUCUCCCUGCCCAUCCCCCUGCGCCAGACCAGGUGAGCCCGACCCCCCCCCAGUUGUGGUAAAACGAGAGGCACAUCCACCACCUGGCAGGGUGUCAACUCCAACCUGAGGCAUUUACAUAGUUUGGGGUAAAUAAUUUAUGUGGGAGUUCGGGGCAGCACUGGGGAUGGACAACAGCAACCCACUGCAGGAGCUGUGUCCAUGGGGUGUUUGCCAGCCCAGAGCUGGAGCUGCUGUGUGAGUGGGUCACAGAAUCACAGAAUCAAAGAAUCACAGAAUCAACCAGGUUGGAAAAGACCUCUGAGAUCAUCGAGUCCAACCCAUGACCCAACCCCACCUUGUCACCCAGACCAUGGCACUGA
rnacentral:lncRNA from 1 species